AGAGUUUGAUCCUGGCUCAGAUUGAACGCUGGCGGCAUGCCUUACACAUGCAAGUCGAACGGUAACAGCACUUCGGUGGCUGACGAGUGGCGAACGGGUGAGUAAUACAUCGGAACGUGCCCGAGAGUGGGGGAUAACGCAGCGAAAGCUGUGCUAAUACCGCAUACGAUCUACGGAUGAAAGCAGGGGACCGCAAGGCCUUGCGCUCAUGGAGCGGCCGAUGGCAGAUUAGGUAGUUGGUGGGAUAAAAGCUUACCAAGCCGACGAUCUGUAGCUGGUCUGAGAGGACGACCAGCCACACUGGGACUGAGACACGGCCCAGACUCCUACGGGAGGCAGCAGUGGGGAAUUUUGGACAAUGGGCGAAAGCCUGAUCCAGCCAUGCCGCGUGCAGG
rnacentral:rRNA from 1 species